rnacentral:rRNA from 1 species
GGCGGACGGGUGAGUAACACGUAGGUAACCAACCCUAGAGCGGGGGACAACCCAGGGAAACUUGGGCUAAUACCGCAUAAGACCACGGACUGGGAGGUUUGUGGUAAAAGGAGCAAUCCACUUUAGGCUGGGCCUGCGGCCUAUCAGGUAGUUGGUAAGGUAAUGGCUUACCAAGCCUAAGACGGGUAGCCGGACUGAGAGGUUGAACGGCCACACUGGAACUGAGAUACGGUUCAGACUCCUACGGGAGGCAGCAGUGGGGAAUUUUGCGCAAUGGGCGAAAGCCUGACGCAGCGACGCCGCGUGGAGGAUGAAGGUUUUCGGAUUGUAAACUCCUUUUGUAGGGGAAGAUAAUGACGGUACCCUAUGAAUAAGCCACGGCUAACUCUGUGCCAGCAGCCGCGGUAAGACAGAGGUGGCAAGCGUUGUUCGGAAUUACUGGGCUUAAAGGGCGCGUA